rnacentral:lncRNA from 1 species
UCUAGCUCAAUAUUAUUGUUGGAUUUGAGCCCAAGUAUUGAUUGAACUAAACUAGGCUUGAUUAGUCUAGAUCAAUUCAGGGUGAUUCCAAAUUAAUUGACUUAUUCAAGUUAGUUUAACCUAAAUUAAACCUAAUCUAAUCCAAAUUAUACUAGUCUAGGGUGGUUCCAGACCAGUUAAAUAAGGAUCAGAGAUCGGUUCAGUUAGAUCCUAGUAAAUUGAGUUCAAUUGGAUCAAUUGAACUAGAGUUCAAGUCAAUUGAGGGCUAAUUUAUAUUAUUUGGUAUUGAUGAUAUUUGAAAGAAAUGUUUAAAUGUGUUAUUUCAUCCCUAUAUGGACAUGACUAGUGUGAGAUUAU